UACGGAGGGUGCAAGCGUUAUCCGGAAUCACUGGGCGUAAAGGGCGCGUAGGCGGUCUGUUAAGUCUGGCGUUAAAGCCUGGGGCUCAACCCCAGAUCAGCGUUGGAUACUGGCAGGCUAGACGGUUGGAGAGGCGAGUGGAAUUACCAGUGUAGCGGUGGAAUGCGUAGAUACUGGUAGGAACACCCAUUGCGAAGGCAGCUCGCUGGACAACACGUGACACUGAGGCGCGAAAGUGUGGGGAGCAAACCGGAUUAGAUACCCGGGUA
rnacentral:rRNA from 1 species